UGCGUAGGCGGACUGGUAAGUCAGUGGUGAAAUCUUUCGGCUCAACCGAGAAACUGCCAUUGAAACUGUCAGUCUUGAGUCAGGUAGAGGUAGGCGGAAUGUGUAAUGUAGCGGUGAAAUGCUUAGAUAUUACACAGAACACCGAUUGCGUAGGCAGCUUACUAGACCUGCACUGACGCUGAUGCACGAAAGCGGUGGGGAGCGAACA
rnacentral:rRNA from 1 species